rnacentral:rRNA from 1 species
UACGUAGGUGGCAAGCGUUAUCCGGAAUUAUUGGGCGUAAAGAGCGCGCAGGUGGUUAAUUAAGUCUGAUGUGAAAGCCCACGGCUUAACCGUGGAGGGUCAUUGGAAACUGGUUGACUUGAGUGCAGAAGAGGGAAGUGGAAUUCCAUGUGUAGCGGUGAAAUGCGUAGAGAUAUGGAGGAACACCAGUGGCGAAGGCGGCUUCCUGGUCUGCAACUGACACUGAAGCGCGAAAGCGUGGGGAGCAAACAGG